UGUGCUAACACCCCACCAUUUUGUGUUGAGCUGUGGGGUCAGACCGCCAUUUUGUGUGAGUCUGUGGGACACUGCCUUUUUGUGUGAGUCUGUGGGGUCAGACCACCAUUUUAUGUCCGGCUGUGGGAUAUUCUGCCAUUAUGUGUGAGGCUGUGGGUUCAGACCGCCAUUUUCUGCGGGGCUGUGGGACACUCUUCCCUUUUCUGUUGGGCUGUGGGACACUCCACCAUUGUGUGUGAGUCUGUACAGUCACUCCACCAUUUUGUGUGAGUCUGUACUCUCACUCCGCCAUUUUGUGAGAGGCUGUGGAAUAUUCCACCAUCUUGUGUUGGGCUGUGAGACACUCUCCCCAUUUGUGUGGGGCUGCGGGGUCAGACCACCGUUUUGUGUCCCUGCAGUGAUGCCAGGAUGUCCAUCCCCAGCUGUGCAUCCUCAGUGGAAAAACCUAGGAUGAAAAUGCUGUGCACAUGUUUUCCAAGGGUUCUGUCUCUGCUUGUUUUCUCAUAAGGUGCUGUUCCUGCUCCAAGGGCUGAUCCUUGCCUCCUCACCCGUGCGACCGCCCCAGGGCCGGCAGGAUCUGGCAGUGCCCGAGGUCUGCCUGGCCCUGCUGGUGCAGCUGCUUUGUCUGGAGCUGCCUGUGCAGGGCGCUGUUCCUGUGCAGAAGUCAAGCAAAGAAUGAAUGUGGAGGGGCCUGGCACUGCCAGCACAGGAGAAAAUAAACCCCAGCCAUUCAGGUUGGAGGCAGCGCACACUGUGCUGUCUGAAUAAAUACACAGAGUGAGCACAUCACUGAAAUGAUGUGACCAGAAUUAACCCAAUGCACCUCCAGAAUGUCUUCUCCUCAUCACCUCUCAUGGAUCCUGUUGCUGUUUGUCUGGCUGCCCGUGGAGCUCCCGUUCUUUGCCAGGCAAACAGCCGGAGUG